ensembl:lncRNA
GAAACUCACUUAUGCUGAAGUAGCAGCCUCUCUGGGUCCUCUUGGUGUCUGAACUCAAGUUUCAUCUUUUGAGUGAUCUUUCUCAUCCCCUAUGGAGCCACGGAUUAGCUUACUAUGGACACCCACGGAGUCGGAUGAUAGAGCGUCUGCACAUACCCUGGAGGCCAAAGGAUCUAGUCAAAAGUCUGGAGCUCACUGAAGUGUCAUGUGCAACUCCAUAUCAGGAGGCCCAUGGGCCUGCCCAUGGAAAACUGAAGCAUCUACCUAGGAAGAAUGAAGGGUCUGUGCCUGAAGCCAAAGUGUCUGUGCUGGAGAACAGGAUAUUAUGUCCAAGGUGAAGGUGAAGACUGGAGCUUCUCUGAAGAAACAGAAGAAGAUCCAUCCUACUUCAUUUUCCCUUUACACCAUCCAGUCUUCCUGAAAGAUUAUGCAACUUGGAUUGAUUAGUGUCUUUUGUCCUUAUGGCAAGGCAGGUUCUACUUUUUGUUCCGAAGAAGAUGUUUAUAUUAUACCUACUAUUGACAAAAAGUUUCUGAAAAGACUUUAUUUACUUCCAUCUUUACUGUGUAGAGAAUAUUAAUAUCUGAGAACAGUGACAAUCAGCCCUGACAAAAUGGUCAAGAAAUUAUGCAGUUCCUUAUGACUUGGUGUCCGGAGCCCAUAUCCUGGAGUCAAUGCUUUAAGGGAGAAAACUGUAAAAAAAUAGUUACAAUGGAUGGAGAUACACAGGAAAGGAAGACUUUAUUUAGGAAUAUUGCAAUGGAGGAGAGAGAUGGAACUUGAUAACCCUAAAGUAAAAGGAGCAGAGGAUGUCUGCCCAUUUUCUGAUAUCAUCUUCAAUUUCUCGAAAAGAAGACAUUAUGGGGCAGUAUUGGGAGGAAUUAAUAGUUCACGCUGACUAGAAAGUAGAAUGAAUAAAGAGGAAUAUGAAAUGUUGGAGCUGUGAUAAACAGGGAUCGACCUCGGGUCCUUGAGCUUGCUCAGCAGGUGGCGAAACCACUGAGCUAAAUCCCCGACCCUAGCACCAAUAACUUUUUUCAAAGCCUAGAACCCUGGAAGAGAGGGAUCGAACUUGAGUCCUUGCCUUUGUGCAGCAGGCAACAAAACCACUGAGAGGAGACCACUGAGAUUCAGGGCUUCAUGAAGGCAGCACAACUGCUGGAUAGAGGCUCAAAGUGAGAGAAGGAGAUGUCAAAGUGGGAACCAGGACCCAAGAUUCUAUACCACCACCUACUGUCUCCUCUGAAACUUGCUUCUAUCUAAUGAGAAAAAAGACUGUACUUGCUAAGACCUCAGUCCUAACUGAUUUAUGGAAUGGAGUCCACAAACACUUAUUUGCUACACAGACCACCCCAUUCUGGUCAAUUGGCCUCUGAAGAGUAGAGAGAGCCCCAUGCAGAACCCUGUGUUGAAUUUCUACCAUUGUCCCUGAGAAGAGAAAGGUAAUAAUGCUGAGAAAACUAGACCCAGGAAAUGAAUCAUUGUUGGCAUGACCCAGAGACAACUGAAUUAAACCUCCCAAGACCCCAAAUGACUCUUCAGUGCAGUCAAAACAAGAUACCAGCGGAACUGGCAGCAGCUGGACUCAGAUUCUUGGCACAUCAUAGAUGCACCAUCAGCCCUUUGGCUACACUGUACAUCACUUGCAAGCAAGAAAACUCAGCCAGUGAUAUUUGGCGUACUGAACUUGAUGGAGCCACGUGAUAUGGGAAACCCGAUUUUGGCCAUUGGGAGCUGUCCAUUAACUGGGUUACAUGGCAUAACUCCUGAGAAUAACUCAGAUAGAAAAGAACCAAAAAAGACUGGUUUAACUGCUGGAGACUUGGCAAUCACAGAAGAAUUUCCCCUUGGAAAGGGCAAGAAGCACUCAGACCUGGAAGGAAAUGUUAAUUUCAUAUGGAGAAACCUGAGUAAACCAGUGCUUUGGGAAUAAGCAGUUAAAAGACAACGCAUUGUGAGACCUAAAGUCACAGUUGGUAAUUCAGGUUAUCUGGCCUCUUCCUCUACUUUACAUACCAGGAAACUGACCUCUCAAGAGGUGAAGUGCUGUAAUCAAGGCCCCCUGGAUUAUCAACCUGGAUCAGAACCUAGGUGAGAAGAACCUCUGACCCAAAAUGGUCUCAACAGAGUCCUUGGCUUUUUUCUUAAGGAUGGUGAAGUCGUUUCUUGGAUUGGAGCCAGCAGAGGAUAGCUCACUACUUACUUAAGUGACAGCACUUCAGGACACCAGUGUUCUGGAGUUUUAGCAUGCCAGAGGAGUAACAAGGAGUAAGAAUAAUCAAUCAUUGCUCAGAUCAUCUAAAUGAUUCCCAGGAAACAAAAGACCAGGCAGGACUGUGCUUAAUUCAUACUAGAUUCUCAAAAUAUUUCUCUGUGUGUUCUGGAAUCUUUUAAUGCUGUCUCAUAUAUUUCCCUAGCUUUGGAGGAAAGCUGAGGGUUUUUUUCUAAAGAUUGAUUCACUGUCAGGGAGACUUCAUUAAAUCAUAU